AGAGCACAAUACAGAUAUAGACC
rnacentral:siRNA from 1 species